GAGGUUCCCAGGCUAGGGGUCUAAUCGAAGCUAUAGCCACCAGCCUAUGCCACAGCUACAGGAACACCAAAUCCGAGCCACGUCUGUGACUUACACCACAGCUCACAGCAAAGCUGCAUCCUCAACCCACUGAGCAAGGCCAGGGAUCGAACCGGCAACCUCAUGGUUCCUAGUCUGAUUCAUUUCCACUGAGCCAUGACGGGAACGACCAAAAUAAAUUUAAUUCCCAUAUCAUUUAUUUCUACCACGGACUCAAGUCUGGAAGGGACUCUAGACAUCAAACCCCUCUUCAGUCUUGCUUUAUGCAUGAGGAAAGUGGGGCAUAGGGACACUGUGGCUCUGCCAAGCUCACUCUGGGGCUAGGACUCAGGUAUGCCAGUUUCCAGUCUGCAGACAUGUAUUCUGGGAACCUAGAAAGCUUUCCAGUUUGGAGUGGUUGAUUUAGUCAACAAAUGACCCUGUAUCUCCUGGAGGUAAACUGAGCCUCAUGAACACAGACGGCCUGAGGGAAGAUGCACCUUUGUCCUUGCGCAGCUGGAGGAUUAAAUGAUCAUGUUGCAACUUGUUCUGUGGGAAAGUCUUUGGGGGAUUAAUUAUUGCUAUGAUUAUAUGGAGUGUGACUUUUUUGGAAGUAGUUUGCCACGUAUAUUUCCUAGCACUGUUCUGUGACACCAAGGCACAAUGGAAAAGAUCUUGAUACCUUCUAGAAGUUUACAGACAAAAACCUGCUCUUUGAUCAAUUUCUUUUAUCUGGCCAAUUUCCAAAACAACAGCGAUGCAAAGGUUUUUUUUUUUUUUUUUUUUUUUAAGUUCUAUUCUGUGAUAUUCCCUCUCUUUUCUGAUUCUACAAAUAGUGGCGCUUGCUGGAGUUGAUACAUAGCUGUUAGGAACACCUGUGUUACCUCUCGGAUGAAGAAAUGAGAAAUGCAUGAGUCUUGCUAACUCUCCUUGGGUGGGGGGAGGUUGCAGGAAGGGAGGCGCAUCAAACACACAAAGCCUGGCUCAUUCAAUUUAGCUGGCAUUCAGGGAGGCCCGAAGCCCAGGCAGGACUGCAUGUUCCUAACUUCAUACCCAUUUGUUCCAUUUUCUCUUGGAAAAGGCUUUCCGACAGAAUCACAGGAUACUGGUGGGAGGCUUUCGCAGACCCUGGGCAGUCACGUGCCGCCAACCCACCCACGCAUGCCACAGCCCCUCCAUCUGUGACUGCAUUCGCUCCCAAAUCUUUAGCCUCAAGCCAAGCAGGUGGGACCUGUAAGAGGACCCCUCAGAGUAGUUCAUUUCUCUACUUAACUUACCAAGGAGCGACAGUGUCUGGGGCUAGGUCACCCUUCCUGGGGAGUUUCGGAAAUGAUAUUUGAGCCUUUGCUAAACAAUGAAAAGCCUUGGAGCACAGGGUACCUGGGCAAAGGUGAUCAUGUUCUGGGCCUGCCGGCUCUUUUCCAGAAACACUUGACGGGAAGGAGUAAUUGCAGCCCCCAGAUCUCCCAGGACUUGGAAACCCAAACCAGAAGGGCACACACUUCUUGUCCCUUGCCUGACCUCCCUUUGCUCCCUGCACCUGGGAGGUGCUGAUGGGGGCGGGGGUACCAGAGUGGGAGAGGGAACUCAAGCUGGAUGGAUCCCAUUAGGCUUCAUGUGCAAAGCAAGUUGAGUGAAGUAGCUGCUCUGGGAUGCGUCCAACACGGCUGUUCUAUUUUUAGUCCCUCCCUGAGUGCUUCCCAACCUCGCAUUGUGCGCCUGGGCACCUGGAUCGGCGGCAAAAUCUGGAACCGAGCCACUCAUUUGUAAACUGGAAGGAAGGAGGCCAUUGAUGCGGGGCUUGUUUAUCGCUGACAGGGAAGGGGGACCUGGAAUGUUAAUGAGGACGGCUCUCCGAAGCGCGCCGGCAUGGUUAGCUAGGAGUUCAAAGGAGGAGGCAGGCUCAGUCCCGAGCCGAACAAAUGCAAACCGUUGAUAGAAGGAGAAAUCAAUUAUGCUGUCGCAGGCCUCCGUGUCAUUGUGCUGGAGUUGUUAGAAAAGGUAGGACAAGGACCAGCUCUCAAAAGGAAACAAAGCCACAUGGCCUUGAAGUAGAAGGAGUUUGCCAUGGCAACUGAUGGAAAUGUGCCUCCCGGGCACUGAGCAGGUGUGUUAUCUUACAGAAUAAACAGCCUUCUCUCACUCCCAGGUUUUUAUAAUAAAACCUGUGUUUGGAUGACUUUCCCCUCCUCUUUGUUACCAGGAGAAGUUGGCUGUUGCUCAAUCAGCCCAGGGCUCUAGUCAGGGAAAUGUAAUCAGUGUUAUCAAAAGGGCUGCUUUUGAAAAGCUGGUGCUCGGCUUGGCGGCCAGCCGCCCCUCACCGAGCAGCAGCUGGGCCGCAGGUACCUGUCUGGCCUUUAUCACCUUCCAGGGGAGGCGCGGCACAGAAAUUGCCCAGUUAGUACAUGUAUUGAGGCAUGACGGUGAGGCCCGGCUCUCAAGCUGGUGGUGGUCAAAAGCUGCCUUCUUCCAGGAAGAGAAAUGUGCUUAGGUGAGAUGGGACCCGACCAGUUUUUAGCAUCCUGUUCUCUGGGGUGGGCCAAGGGUCCUUUGAGUUCAGGGAUUAACUGAUUCUAUCUUCCAGUCUGCUGUUAUUCACAGAGUUCAGUUACUCAGAAACUUGCAGAAAGCUGCUGUCUCCCUGUCAUUUAAGCCCCUUUCACAUGGAUUCUGGAGUGGCACAGUCUUGUGUCCGAAAUGUAUACAAAAUUGUGAAGAUUUUAUAAAAUCCUCCCGAGCCAGAAAGAAAAGUUUACUUUUUAUUGUUACAAGGCCAACAACAAUAAAGCCGGAGAGUCCAAUUUUCAACGCUUUCACUUUAUAACUAAAAGAAAACUUCCACUCUGGCUUCAAAUUGAUUUUCAAAACAAGAUGCUCUUUCAUAACGGGCCUCCUAGAACACAGACAAUUCCAAAUUAGGUUUGGGCCAAACGGCCGACCUGAGAAUCGUGCAGCCAGGGCCAGCCACCUGAAUGCAAAACUGCCCGCCACACCCAAUGGCCCUCCCCGUGCCCCACUGUGCCCCUUUCCUCCAACGAGAUGCCCGGCUCCUGCCCCCCACCCCCCAAACAAUGCCCUGGAAGUCCCUCCAAACAUCACCUUAACUGUGACCCUAAUAGGAAAAAAUAAUGGCUGCUAGAGGAGUGGAUACGGAAAGGAUUUCAUGCACUAAACCUCCCAGGCAAAGCGAUACCGCCAAGUUCAUGUACUAAACCAGGCUCUGAGGUAAGCUCAGGGGGACAUUCCAAAGUGGGUGGGCAGGGCCUGCCCAUGUCAAGUUGUUAAAAUUCAAGAUUCUGGAGUUCCCAUUGAGGCUCAGCCGGGUAAGAAGCUGACAUUGUCUCUCUGAGUAUUCCGGUUUGAUUCUUGGCCUCGCUCAGUGGGUUAAGGAUCCGGCAUUGCUGUGAGCUGUGGUGUAGCUGCUUGGAUCCUGUGUGGCUGUGGCUGUGAUGCAGGCCGGCAGCUGCAGCUCUAAUUCAACCCCUAGCCUGGGAA
rnacentral:lncRNA from 1 species